GGAAAUUAUGCAGGUAUUCCUUGCCGGUAUGUUUCUCCAAUUGAAGGCUUCUCAGCAUUUGCAGAAGUGACAUACGAAAUGGGAUGUGCAGAUGUUGCUUGUAAAAAUGACAGUUUGAUCUUUCCAGCAAUGGAAGCUGCACGUGAAGCAGAUGCCACUAUAUUAUUGAUGGGUUUGGACUUGUCUGUUGAAGCUGAAGGCAGGGACAGGGUGGAUCUCCUCCUCCCAGGUUACCAAACUCAAUUGAUCAACCAAGUUGCUAAAGCCUCUAAAGGUCCAGUGAUCCUUGUAAUUAUGGCAGCGGGUUGUGUUGAUAUCUCUUUUGCCAAGAAUAAUGAACUGAUCCAAG
rnacentral:misc_RNA from 1 species